rnacentral:rRNA from 1 species
AAAGAAGGUAAUAAUCCUGUAGUCGAAAAUGUUGUCUCUCUUGAGUGGAUCCUGAGUACGACGGAGCACGUGAAAUUCCGUCGGAAUCUGGGAGGACCAUCUCCUAAGGCUAAAUACUCUCUAGUGACCGAUAGUGAACCAGUACCGUGAGGGAAAGGUGAAAAGCACCCCGGAAGGGGAGUGAAAUAGAACCUGAAACCGUGUGCUUACAAGUAGUCAGAGCCCGUUAAUGGGUGAUGGCGUGCCUUUUGUAGAAUGAACCGGCGAGUUACGAUUUGAUGCAAGGUUAAGCAGUAAAUGUGGAGCCGUAGCGAAAGCGAGUCUGAAUAGGGCGUUUAGUAUUUGGUCGUAGACCCGAAACCAGGUGAUCUACCCUUGGUCAGGUUGAAGUUCAGGUAACACUGAAUGGAGGACCGAACCGACUUACGUUGAAAAGUGAGCGGAUGAACUGAGGGUAGCGGAGAAAUUCCAAUCGAACCUGGAGAUAGCUGGUUCUCUCCGAAAUAGCUUUAGGGCUAGCCUCAAGUGAUGAUUAUUGGAGGUAGAGCACUGUUUGGACGAGGGGCCCCUCUCGGGUUACCGAAUUCAGACAAACUCCGAAUGCCAAUUAAUUUAACUUGGGAGUCAGAACAUGGGUGAUAAGGUCCGUGUUCGAAAGGGAAACAGCCCAGACCACCAGCUAAGGUCCCAAAAUAUAUGUUAAGUGGAAAAGGAUGUGGCGUUGCCCAGACAACUAGGAUGUUGGCUUAGAAGCAGCCAUCAUUUAAAGAGUGCGUAAUAGCUCACUAGUCGAGUGACACUGCGCCGAAAAUGUACCGGGGCUAAACAUAUUACCGAAGCUGUGGAUUGUCCUUUGGACAAUGGUAGGAGAGCGUUCUAAGGGCGUUGAAGCAUGAUCGUAAGGACAUGUGGAGCGCUUAGAAGUGAGAAUGCCGGUGUGAGUAGCGAAAGACGGGUGAGAAUCCCGUCCACCGAUUGACUAAGGUUUCCAGAGGAAGGCUCGUCCGCUCUGGGUUAGUCGGGUCCUAAGCUGAGGCCGACAGGCGUAGGCGAUGGAUAACAGGUUGAUAUUCCUGUACCACCUAUAAUCGUUUUAAUCGAUGGGGGGACGCAGUAGGAUAGGCGAAGCGUGCGAUUGGAUUGCACGUCUAAGCAGUAAGGCUGAGUAUUAGGCAAAUCCGGUACUCGUUAAGGCUGAGCUGUGAUGGGGAGAAGACAUUGUGUCUUCGAGUCGUUGAUUUCACACUGCCGAGAAAAGCCUCUAGAUAGAAAAUAGGUGCCCGUACCGCAAACCGACACAGGUAGUCAAGAUGAGAAUUCUAAGGUGAGCGAGCGAACUCUCGUUAAGGAACUCGGCAAAAUGACCCCGUAACUUCGGGAGAAGGGGUGCUCUUUAGGGUUAACGCCCAGAAGAGCCGCAGUGAAUAGGCCCAAGCGACUGUUUAUCAAAAACACAGGUCUCUGCUAAACCGUAAGGUGAUGUAUAGGGGCUGACGCCUGCCCGGUGCUGGAAGGUUAAGAGGAGUGGUUAGCUUCUGCGAAGCUACGAAUCGAAGCCCCAGUAAACGGCGGCCGUAACUAUAACGGUCCUAAGGUAGCGAAAUUCCUUGUCGGGUAAGUUCCGACCCGCACGAAAGGCGUAACGAUUUGGGCACUGUCUCAACGAGAGACUCGGUGAAAUCAUAGUACCUGUGAAGAUGCAGGUUACCCGCGACAGGACGGAAAGACCCCGUGGAGCUUUACUGUAGCCUGAUAUUGAAAUUCGGCACAGCUUGUACAGGAUAGGUAGGAGCCUUUGAAACGUGAGCGCUAGCUUACGUGGAGGCGCUGGUGGGAUACUACCCUAGCUGUGUUGGCUUUCUAACCCGCACCACUUAUCGUGGUGGGAGACAGUGUCAGGCGGGCAGUUUGACUGGGGCGGUCGCCUCCUAAAAGGUAACGGAGGCGCUCAAAGGUUCCCUCAGAAUGGUUGGAAAUCAUUCAUAGAGUGUAAAGGCAUAAGGGAGCUUGACUGCGAGACCUACAAGUCGAG